GCAUGGGCACACAUGGAACAGGCUUUCCUCUGUGGCCAGGUGAGAAGCAGGUGGUGAGACACAGAGCAGUGCUGGGCUCUGCUUCUGAAGCCUCCAACCUUUCCUUCCCUAGGAAGCCCCAGAGAGAUUGGUGAGGGUGAUUUCCCAGGAAGACGCAGUGUGCUCUGACUUCUGUGACAGUGAGCAACGGGACCAGUGGAUGUCCAGAUGCUGGCAAUGAGACAUACUCUGGAGUCAGAAGACAGCGAAAAGAGAAGCAGAAGCCCCGGUGGCAAGAGUCUGAAGGAAGGAUGACUGUAGCCUGUGGAUUGUACUGCAGUAGGAAACUGUCCUAGCAAGGCUCCACCUUGCCCCAGCUUCAAGGUAUAUCGUCUCAAAAUGCAGGGGACUUCAGAUGAGUU
rnacentral:lncRNA from 1 species